AAAAUCAAAAUUUAAACAAGAUUUUGUAAAAGUCAAGGACUUGUGUGUCUCAGCUAAAAAGUUAAUGAAAAUGAGAGAAGCUGAGGAGUGGGAAAAAGGGGAAAAGAAAAGGCUUUUAAUCAAGUUUGCCACUGCUUCUUCUUCUCCUUAUUUUGCUUCAUUUCUUGCACAUGCUCCUCCUCAUUGGAACCUUAGAUGCCUCUAGAGACAUUUCGAAACACUCAU
ensembl:ncRNA F43D2.12 ncRNA